GCCAACUACGUGCCAGCAGCCGCGGUAAUACGUAGGGUCCGAGCGUUGUCCGGAAUUAUUGGGCGUAAAGGGCUCGUAGGCGGUUUGUCGCGUCGGGAGUGAAAACACCGGGCUUAACUCGGUGCUUGCUUUCGAUACGGGCAGACUAGAGGUAUUCAGGGGAGAACGGAAUUCCUGGUGUAGCGGUGAAAUGCGCAGAUAUCAGGAGGAACACCGGUGGCGAAGGCGGUUCUCUGGGAAUAUCCUGACGCUGAGGAGCGAAAGUGUGGGGAGCGAACAGGAUUAGAUACCCCUGUAGUC
rnacentral:rRNA from 1 species